rnacentral:rRNA from 1 species
GACGAACGCUGGCGGCGUGCUUAACACAUGCAAGUCGAACGAAGCACUUUUAAUUCUUCGGAAGAGGAAGUGACUGAGUGGCGGACGGGUGAGUAACGCGUGGGUAACCUGCCUUAUACAGGGGGAUAACAGUUAGAAAUGACUGCUAAUACCGCAUAAGCCGAUAGAGUCGCAUGACUUAGUCGGAAAAGAUUUAUCGGUAUAAGAUGGACCCGCGUCUGAUUAGCUAGUUGGUGAGGUAAUGGCCCACCAAGGCGACGAUCAGUAGCCGGCUUGAGAGAGUGAACGGCCACAUUGGGACUGAGACACGGCCCAAACUCCUACGGGAGGCAGCAGUGGGGAAUAUUGCACAAUGGGGGAAACCCUGAUGCAGCAACGCCGCGUGAAGGAAGAAGUAUUUCGGUAUGUAAACUUCUAUCAGCAGGGAAGAAAAUGACGGUACCUGAUUAAGAAGCCCCGGCUAACUACGUGCCAGCCGCCGCCGUAA